AUAAGGCCCUGAGCCAAAGGCAGACGCUCAAUUGCUGAACCACCCAGGCGUCCCCUCAGUUAAAUUUCAAUUUCAGAUAAAUAAUGAAUUAAUUUUUUUAGUAUAAGUAUAUCCUAAAUGUUGCACGGGACAUACUUAUGCUAAACAAUUUUUGGUUGUUUAUCUGAAACUUAAAUUUGUAUUUAAGCAUCUUGUAUUUUACCUGGUAACUCUAAGCUAGAGGGUACUUCAUCUCUUAUUACUCUCCAGUGGUUCCGUGAGGAGCGGAGAAUAGGGAAAUCUCCAGCGCUUGGAGCACUCCAUCCCUGCCUGUCAUCAGCAACCAUUCAGUUCUCAGAAAUCACCUCCUCCAGGAAGCCUUCUGGGCCACCAUACUUCCCUUAUCAGAACCCCAAGAGCAUUGCUGGUCGCCAUCAGUAAGAGCUCCAUCUAGCAUCAUGGUUUUUUGUUCACUGUGUUCUCUAGCCCCUAGCUCCUUGCAUGGCAUGUGCAAAGAUCUGCUGUGGAAGCCGGAGCAAGCCCGUUGCCUCCUCUGGGUCACUGUCUCCAUCCUUAUGAGACGGGCCAUAUGAAAUGGUCUCUGAGUCCUCUUCCCACUCUGCUGUCUGCCCAUUAUGGCUGACCCUGCACUCGGAUCCUGGAGAUCCUGGGUAGGGCAGCCCAGGCAAGAACUCUGAGCUCAACUUGGAAGAGAUGAGGACAUUCCUGAGCUCUGCCUCUACGCAGCCUCAGACACCCCCACCCUCUCUCAGCCCAACCUUCCUCUUCUGCCAGGUUCUGGACAAGUGGGGAUGUAACACAGCCUGCUGUAACCACCUUAGCAGGCUGGGCCUGAGCGUCUUCUGUGAGGAAUCCAUCCAACCCAACAGAGAGACACCCUGAAGCCGAGUCCCCCACUUGGUGCAGGGGGCUCAGUGUUCAGCCUUAAGCGCAAGGUGAGGAUCACGUGGGCGUCGGUGGAGCAGACCUGGGAGACCUGGGUCCAAGGAGACACCACCGUGCGGGUUCAUCCAGUGCCAGGACAGGCUGCUCUCAAGGCCCCAUUCUGGUCUCAUCUGAACAAUUUGGGGUAAGGAGCAGGGUUCGGUCCCUUCUGGUACCGAAGGGUUGUCCAGGGUUCUAGAGUGCGAGACUGCAG
rnacentral:lncRNA from 12 species